rnacentral:lncRNA from 1 species
CCAAGCUUCGACACGGCCGCAACGUCUGCAUUAACCGUUGGCGCUGUUUCGACCGACCAGACCACGUUAAUGCAACAGAUACAGCAGUUCGUCCGCGAAGAAGUGGCGCGACAAUUGUCUCUUGUGCCUUACGUUCCGGCCAGUGCGCAUACGCUGACCCCAACGCUUCACAAUGCAA